GGAUUGGUUGACAAGAUCUUGGAAGACUAAGGAAGGCAAAAGACACUGAGCAACCAGCGAGGAACUGCAGGAAGCAGCCACGACCCUUGUGACUGUCAGAAGAUGAGGAAGAAAUCUGGGUGAUCACAACCCAGAAACUUGGAGGAGGAUGAGCCCUGGGUAGCUGGCACCCAGGACGUCAGACCUCUGGGAAGGGGGUGAGUUGACACUGGUCUUGGGAAAGACCAGAAGCUGACAUUCACCUUGGAAGCAAUGUAGAGCAGUUGGCUACAGCCAGCAGUUCAAAGAAGCAAGCCUCUUCCUCCCCUCAACUCCCUCCAGCCUCCUCCAGGACCCACAUUUAGUAAAAACUAAUGGGAUUCAGUGGGGCAAAGCAGAAACAACAUUUGUAGUCACAGCCGACACCAUAUAGCCGAGCACAGAAGGUAGGUUUGGAGCCAAGCAGAGAGAAUUUAAUGACUAACCAGAGACUUUGAGUGCACGUACAGCGCAAGCGUCUACAGACCUGAAGCUACCUUCUCUGAGCCAGUGGGACCAGGCGAAUACAGUGGCCUACAAGUCCAUUUGCUCUGAUUACUCCCUGCAACGCUUUGAGGGCCAGAAGCAAGAGCAGAAGAAGAGGUCCAUACAUCACGAUCCUAAUUCUGCACAGUUCCAAGUCAAGCCAAGCAACUGCCAAAGAGCAAGUUCCAACCUCCACUCUUGACAACCUGGAAGUUCAGGUUCAAACUAAGAGUCGCUUGAGUCCUUGGCAUGCUGUGCCAGAAGCUGAUGGCAUUGACAGCCAGGCUGCAGCCUAAGUCCCUUCUCACCUUUCCAGCCCCGUCCCAUCUAAAACUGAGGCUCCUUGCCAGGCCCCUGUGUAAGUUCAUGUUUGCCAACCCCUGAGGGGCUGUUGCUGGAGAUGGAACCAGGCAGACUGGAUGUUAAGAGAGCAGCUGACGCAGACAGUGGGCAUCUGCUGGUCCCUGAAUGAGCACCUGGCCUCUCCAGGUCCUGCGCUGAAGCCUUGGGCCCUGACCACUUCUGCUUAGAGGCAGUUUCUUCACCCCCACAUGGGGCUCUUAUCUGUGCACCUGGCACCUCCACGAGGAAGGUAUGAGAGGCGCUGUGCACCCUGAAAUCUGCACAUCCUUCCCUUGUUUAGGCUCUGGGUGCAUAUUCAGCCUGCCCCGUGUGAGAAGAUUAUGAAGGGGCAUCCGUGCAAACACUCAGGACGUGCAGAGAUGCUGCCCCCAGCAUUAGCUUUUGAGUCCUUGAGUCUAUCUUUUCAGCAUCCCAUGCUUUCUGUCACCUGCUUCAGAUAUCAAAGUUGACAGUUUGGGGUGUGCUCUCAAAGCAACCUGGAGGGAAGGGAGACCCCGGUGCUUUCUUCUGGGAAUUAAAUGUACAAACUGGUAAGGUGGGCUUUGGGCUCACAGUUGGAGACACUCGAUGGUGUUUUCAUUUGGAUGGAGAGAGGAGGUUAUCAGAAGUUGGUUAUCAGAAGUCUGUUUGGGAGAGUUUGGGGGGGGGUCUCUGAGGGAGAGGGACUUACUCAGAAAAGAAACACUAAAUAGCAUGGCACAGGGGGUUGAGCUCUGAGGAGCAGAGAGCCAGAUCUUUAUUUGUUCCUCUUUUUAUAUCCUACACAGUGAGCUGCUACAUGUCACUAGUCACAAGCUACAUUAAUUGUUACAGAAGGUAAAACCUUACAGAGGUUAUACAUGGCAACAGUAAAUUUUGUUUCUAGAGCCAAGGUAUGGCAAGCAUAUGUCUGAAUAAACGGACUCAGGGAGCCGUUCUUUCCUUAUCUACAAGGAUCAGAGAGUACCUGGGACACUGCAAGUGCACGACUGGGAGAUCAUCCUUGAUCUCUUGCUGUCAGGACUUCCUCACAACUCCGUGAAUGCACACACAGGUCACCCAGCGGUCUCCUGCACUGAGACAAUUCCAACAGAAGAGGUCAAGUCAGGCGUCCUUUCGUACCUGCCCCGAGGCAAACACUUGCCUAGGAAAUGUGCCAAGAAUCUGGCUUCUCUUCCGGAUCAUUCUGUCCCCUGAAGAGGUGACAGCAGCCAGGGGGCGCCUAGAGUGGGAGAGUUGGCAAAGGGACAGGGGAGAAGGCCAGGAACCCCUACACAGCAGCAGGAUUGCCACCCACUGCUGACAGAGUGUCUGGUCUCAAAUUACACUGUAUCAGAGCUCUGGCAUAAAAUUAGCAGCAAUGUUCUGUGUGAGAGCAGCCAGAGAAAUCCUCAUAUUCAGCAGAACCAGGCAGGCGCAGAAGAGAAAGAAGGAAGCUGGGAGGGAAAGGGACACACCUGCGUCCCCCGCUGCAGAGGUGGCUGCCCCGCUGCUGAAUCAGGGUCACAGGAGAGCUCUUGGGGUAGAGGGGAGGUUGGGAUGAGGGGAGGCAAGAUCGGGGGAAACCUGGAGUCGUGAACUUGAGGAAUUGUCUCACCUGAAACUCACACACACACACACACACACACACACACACACUGCAAUUGAGGAACACGAAUAAGAGAAUUCCAGAGGUUUUACAUGUUUCAUACAUUUUUGGCAUUGUUUUGCCACAACCCCACUAAGUAAGCCUGUCUUUGCAGAUGAAUGAAGGAAGGUUCAAAGAGACUGCAGUGGUGUCCCCGGGACACGCCACUGAAACACACCUGUGACGAUACCCACUUCAAUUUGCAGGUGGAUAUUCUUCCUGUUCAGUGUCACCAUCAGAGGACACGGUACAAACAGGUGCGCACAUGCCUACACAUAGUAUGAGUUUAUACACACGUGUGUGUUUUCAGCUACACACAAGAUGCACUCGCAGCUUACACAAGCCCAUGUCGUGCUCAACCGCACUUCCCCGCUGAGAUGGUUCUGCCACUUCCUGUCCCUCCUGCCCGGUGCCUCCUUUCUGGUUGGCCCUGGCCAAAUGCCUGUCCCUCUCUCCACUUGCCAUGAACAGGCCUGGGCCACUGCUGCUCCAUCCGUUGGUGCCUGCUGGAGACACGGCCUGGUCUGCGUCGUAGUUGGUAUCAUCUCUAGCUCCUCAGGUGUGAAUCCCUCCACAUGCUGCAUCUGUGUGCUAUCACAUCCUUUAUGCAACUCACAGUUCCAGUCCUGAGCUCCCCGAAGCCUCGGUGACUUCAAACUAUUUUUAUGCAACAGUUCAGCUGACCAUUUCUGCACUGUGCAGGCAGCUUACACCUGGACCUUACACCGGUGCAGGUUACAGGCUUGAGGCUCUGGGAGGGUGUGGUGUCCCUCAACUCCUGUGGUGACCCCAGGCUGGCAGCAGAAUUCUGGCCCCGUCAUCGGUUCCGACACCCAGCUUCGAAUUGGGAGCUCAGGUUCACAUUCAUGACAACAGAAGGACUGGUAGCCUGAUCCCAGUGUCAAACUAGGCAUUAAAAUUUCAGCCGUUAGCGCUCUGGGAGGCAGAAGCAGGAAGACUAAAAGUUCAAGUAUAGUCUGGGUGAUUUAGUGACUUAGUGAGACCCCGUCUCAAAAUAAAAACUAAAAAAGGGCAGGGGAUG